rnacentral:pre_miRNA from 1 species
UAAAUACUCCCUCCGUCCGGAAAUACUUGUCGGAGAAAUGGAUGUAUCUAGACGCAUUUUAGUUCUAGAUACAUCCAGUUUUACCCAUUUCUUCGACAAGUAUUUCCGGACGGAGGGAGUACUGU